UACGGGGGGAGCAAGCGUUGUUCGGAUUUACUGGGCGUAAAGGGCGCGUAGGCGGUCAGCACAAGUCAGUUGUGAAAUCUCCGGGCUUAACUCGGAAAGGUCAACUGAUACUGUGCGACUAGAGUGCGGAAGGGGCAACUGGAAUUCUCGGUGUAGCGUGAAAUGCGUAGAUAUCGAGAGGAACACCUGCGGCGAAGGCGGGUUGCUGGGCCGACACUGACGCUGAUGCGCGAAAGCCAGGGGAGCGAACGGG
rnacentral:rRNA from 1 species